rnacentral:rRNA from 1 species
GACGAACGCUGGCGGCGUGCUUAACACAUGCAAGUCGAACGGAAAGGCCCUGCUUUUGUGGGGUGCUCGAGUGGCGAACGGGUGAGUAACACGUGAGUAACCUGCCCUUGACUUUGGGAUAACUUCAGGAAACUGGGGCUAAUACCUGAUAGGAUCUCCUGCUGCAUGGUGGGGGUUGGAAAGUUUCGGCGGUUGGGGAUGGACUCGCGGCUUAUCAGCUUGUUGUUGGGGUAGUGGCUUACCAAGGCUUUGACGGGUAGCCGGCCUGAGAGGGUGACCGGCCAAAUUGGGAAUGAGAUAGGGCCCAGACUCCUACGGGAGGCAGCAGUGGGGAAUAUUGCACAAUGGGCGGAAGCCUGAUGCAGCAACGCCGCGUGCGGGAUGACGGCCUUCGGGUUGUAAACCGCUUUCGCCUGUGACGAAGCGUGAGUGACGGUAAUGGGUAAAGAAGCACCGGCUAACUACGUG